rnacentral:rRNA from 1 species
UAUAAAUAGUGAAAUUUCACAGCUUUGCAAAAUUGGUUAGGGGACCUAGUUUAAUUAAAAAAUGUUAUUUUUGCUACUACUCAAAAAAGAGGUUUUUUACGCUUUUUUUUAUUAUAUAACUGAGAUUUAUAUGUAAAUUUUAGUAUGAUUGAGUUUUAAUUUUAAAUAGAUAAAAGGAUUAUUUGGUUCACAGUAAGUAGUUUUAAUUAUUCAAUAGUUUGAGAAUUAUUUAAAGUAUUUAAUAUUAACAAAGUUUGUGCCAGCAGUUGCGGUUAUACAGAUAAUGUGAUGAUAGAUUUUUGAUUUUUAAUUAAUAUUAAAAUUAAGUUUUAAUUAAAUUUUAUUGGGUGAAAUUAUAGGAUUUACUAAGAUUUUAUAAUUAUAUGAGGUUAAUAAAUUUAAUUUUUAAACUAGGAUUAGAUACCCUAUUAUAUUAAAUGUAAAAUUUUUAGUUGGAUUAGUAUUAGUUGUGUUCUUGAAAAUUAAAGAAUUUGGCGGUAUCUUAGUCUAUUCAGAGGAACCUGCCCUGUAAUUGAUAUUCCACGAGUUAAGUUACUUAUUUUUAAUUUACAUAUCGCUGUAAUAAGAAUAUUUUUAAAAAAUUUAAAUAUUUGAGAUAUUUUUAAGAUAAUAAAUCAAGUCAAGAUGUAGUUUAUAUUUAAGAAGAGGUGGGUUACAGUAAAUUUAUUUAAAAUGGAUAAGUAAGUGAAGAAUUACUUUAAAGGUGGAUUUGAGAGUAAUUUUAUUUUAAUAAAUAGUUUGAUUUUAGCUCUAAGAUAUGCACAUAUCGCCCGUCGCUUUCACUAUAAAGUGGAAUAAGUCGUAACAGAGUAGAUGUACCGGAAGGUGUAUCUAGAAAGA